GCGGACGUGGCCAAGCGGAUUAAGGCAGUGGACUGUGGAUCCACUAUGCGCGGGUUCAAUCCCCGUCGUUCGCC
rfam:Selaginella moellendorffii plastid, complete genome.